GCCUCCAUAGCUCAGCGGUUAGAGCACUGGUCUUGUAAACCAGGGGUCGGGAGUUCCAUUCUCCCUGGGGGCU
rnacentral:tRNA from 1 species